AUGCCUUCACGCUGUGAAAUUUGCUGCGAGAUUAUGAUCGCCGUCUUGAUCCCUCCACUCGGCGUUUGUCUCCGCCAUGGUUGUUGCACUGUUGAAUUCAUCAUUUGCUUGCUCCUUACGAUUCUAGGUUAUAUUCCUGCUAGUAUGAUAGAGACCAGGGGCGUUGAAGUGGUGUUGGUGGCUAGCUUGAUAGUUGGUUAA